AGGACGAACGCUGGCGGCGUGCUUAACACAUGCAAGUCGAACGGUGAACCGGGCUUAGGCCUGGGGAUCAGUGGCGAACGGGUGCGUAACACGUGGGCAACCUGCCCCAGACUCAGGGAUAACCCCGGGGAAACCGGGGCUAAUACCCGAUACUCCGAUCGAACCACAUGGCUCGAUCGGGAAAGCUCCGACGGUCUGGGAUGGGCCCGCGGCCUAUCAGCUUGUUGGUGGGUAACGCCUACCAAGGCGACGACGGGUAGCUGGUCUGAGAGGACGACCAGCCACACUGGAACUGAGAUACGGUCCAGACUCCUACGGGAGGCAGCAGUGGGAAUCUGCACAAGUGGGCGAAAGCCUGAUGCAGGCGACCGCCGCGGUGGGGGACGAAGUCGCCGUUUCGGGUUACGUAAACCCCGUUUCGGCGAGGGACGAAGCGAC
rnacentral:rRNA from 1 species